AGGGGACAGUGGCGGUGAAAAGAGGAGGGCUGUAGGCUUUGGGACGGGGUUGGUCAGGAUUGGGAGGAAAAGAAACAUCCACACCUGGCUGUGGGCCAGACUGCUCAUUUCUGAUGCCCUCCCCUUUAAAACAGAGGCAGAAGCCCCUUGAUCUAGUAGAAGCAGCUCUUCAGGUAGAGAUGCCAUGCUUGGCAUCUAGAUCCUUAACCCCUUCCCAGCCAACACCAUCAAAGUAGGGGUCAGGAGUUGUCUCCAUCAGCUGGAGUCAAAUGAGGUAGACCAACUUAUCCCACCCUGCCUUCCCAUGCUGACAAGUGGGUGACUGGAGGCCAGCCAACCUCCCAACCUGAGCCACUGCCCCUGAGGCCAGCCCUUCCAGAACAGCAGAAGCAGCCAAGCCUGCUCUAAGAAAGCUGGCCUUCAGGCUAAAGAGCCAACUGCCUCCCCACUGCCCGUAUGGGUUUGUGUCAGUGACAACUCCAAGGGCAGAGGCUCCCCAGGUGCACAGGUUGAAGGGAGGUGCCACAUUCUCGGUUCCUGUUGGGAAGAGGACUGUAGUUCCCAAUUAUGAGCCAGAGCCUCACUAUUUCAUGGUUAAGACAGCUAGGAAUAAGACGAGGGGCGGGCCGGGGGAGUGGUUUGCAGACAGCACACCACACCCACAAGUGUGAAGGGGGAAGAGGAUACUUGGGGAAAAGACUCUGAGCCUGGCCUACUUUAAUAAGGAGAUUUUCUACUCCCCAGUGUAAAAUCACCACAGGCUCAUAUUUGACAGCCUUUGGCAAAUUCUCCAAAUACCCCAAACUGGGGCUGUUUCCAUGGGAACACUGGUCCCUAGCUCAAGGCAACUCAGCAAAGCUUUAGGAAGCAACUUCUCUACACAAGGCACAACAGAGGGCUCCCAAAUGGCUGAGAGCACUGCAGGAGGCAGGGGGAGGCCUAGCAGCAGAAACCCAGGACUCCCUGGGUAGGGGGCUCCCCCAGUGCUCCAGCUCAUUGCUCCAAGACCUUAAAGGACAGGGGUGUGCCACUCUUGGCAAAGGGCUUCAUCAAACUGCUGGGAUAGAUGCACCCCAACUUCUCUGGGGUUGGGAAGCCCCACACCCUAUAGAGGGACAGGCUUAGCCGGUCCCCAAUAUAGAAGGGACCCACCCAUUUGGCACUGCUGCCAUUCCUGGGGAGAGACAGCAGGAGGACCUGGUCACCCACGUUCCACUCCUUCUCCUGGCUCUCCUGCUUGAAGCGCCUGUUGUCAGCCUUCUCAGUGCCUUUUUCAGCCCCCUCCAGUGGAGCUCCAGCAGCUCCCCAAUCAGCUGCAGCAGGAAAACAUCCAUCUUGAGCCCUUCAAUGUUUGCACUGCUCAUCUCCCACCACAGGGGCUCAGUCAGCCUCCUCUCAGCCCCCGUCAGGACCUGGAAUGGCGUGGCCUCUGUGGAAGAGGCUCUGAAGGCCAGGUGCAACAGGGGCAGAGAGGCUGCCCACUUCCUGCCAUGCAGGAAGAUGAACUCCUUUAGGGCCCUCUUGAAUUCCCAGUAGGCCUCUGAGCUCACUAGGCAGGGGAACUGCAAGUCCCUACUCAGGGAGGUCACCUGGGCUCCCAGGGCCAAUCCACAGCUCACCAGGACAUGCCGAGCAAACUGGGGGCCCUGGGCCGCCUCCAGCCUCACAGGAACGCCCCACCGUGCAAACACAUGCUGAAGCAGCACCUGGGCCACCGCCAUGUGUGUGUAGGGUUUCAGCGGGAACGCCUCCACCCACCGGGUGUUGGGGUCAGCCACGAUGAGCACAUGCCUGUGGCCCUCCUCGCUUACGGUGAGCGGCCCCACCACCUCGAUCUGCAGGUUCGACCAAGGGGCAGUCGACCUGAGGGGCCAGGGGGACUCGAUGACCUUCAACUCACUGCCUGUGAGAUUCCGGGGGAUGCAAAACAGGCAGCUCCUGCAGUAAUCUUUCACAUGCUCCUGCAUCCCAGGCCACCAUCCCAGCAACUGCAAUUUUUUGUAAGUCUCCUCUGGCCGCUGGUGGGCCCCCAUGGGGAUGUCAUGCACAGAGAAAAUCAGAUCCCUCCGGAGCUGCCUUGGGACUACCCAGACCUUGGGCUUUUUAUCUCCCUUGAACAUAAGCAGCCCACUCUCCUUGUCAAGGCUGAGUGAGUGAAAGGCAGAACUGAAGGGGGAGGAGACAGACAAUUUCUGCCCAGCACGAAGUUUGGCAAUGAUAUCAGCCAGAGUGCUGUCACUCAGCUGCAAUGCCAACAAGUUGGGCCUCUUGCCCAUGGUAUGGGAAGUCACUACAGGGACCGGCACAUCCUUUGGCAAAUCCCACCACUGCCCACUUCCUUGGGCACCCUGCUUGGCCAGGUUAUCCACUGUCACAGCAAACAGAGAGCUCCGGUAGGAGGUUCGGUAGAUGAAUGGAAGAGAUGAAAGGCCAGAGGUGAGGGAUAUAAUGUAGGAGAGCAGGCUUGGGUGAGGUAGUGCAGCCCCAUCAGAGGAGAGGAAGCCCCGGGCCCUCCAGAGGGGCAGGAGCUCCCAGAGGAGGCUGAAGAUCCAGUUGCAGUGGGUGAGGAAAACCACAGGGAGGUGGGACUGGCCACAUCGCUCCAGGCCACAGGCCACGGCUGCCAGGUGGGCAUAGGUCGGGGUGUAAGGGGAGCAGGAAAAGGAAAGGGAGACCGGGGGACUGGUGGGAGACAGGACAUAGAGGCCAAAACCAGCACACCACUCAUCCUCGCGGUAAAAGCAGUAGCCCGACAUGUGGAUGCAGACAAAAGUGGACAGGUCAGAAAAAGGAGGCAGAACCUGGAAGAAACGAGGCAUGGAGGAAACAGGUGUCAACAGUCGGUUUUCCCCCAGCAGGCCCUGGAGAAGGGCCAAUUCCAGGGCCCUCUUGCCUCUGUCCUGUACCAAAAGGGACCAUCGAAUCAACCAUGCUUUGGAGACCCGGCAGCACUCUGGUGCCUCAGGAGCCACAGUGGUCCGGGAGGCGUAGACAAGGUGGAGGACCACUGGGUCAUCUCCAAUACAGUGGGAAAAAUGCUUGAGGGCCCAGGCCACGGCAUAGGGGCUGUCCCCGCCUGACUGGGGGCCCUCACUGUCCUCAUCCGGGAGUAGGGGCUUCGAGGUAGGUAGGCGAUGGGGUGCUUCUUCCCUGAGUGCUCCUGGUAGAGGAUGGCUGUCAGGGCCACCUGGCUCACUGUCACCUGCAGGCGGAAGGGGAGCUGGCAAUUGGGGGGCUGACAGACAGAGGGCAGACACCAGGGCUCGCUUCAGGGCCAGGAAGGCCUUCUCAUGCUCCUGGUCCCACACCCAGUCUGGCUUCUGCUUGAGGAGGCUGUGCAAAGGGCCCAUGAGGGCUUCGUAGUCAGGGAUGACAUCCCGGUGGGAGUCCAUGAACCCCACAAAGAAAGACAGCACGGUGAAGUUGCUGGGGGUGGUGAGCUGGGCCAGCUGGGCAAGAACCUGCUGGCAGGGAGCCUUCCCAUCCCAGGGGAUCCCUAGGUACGAAGAGGCCACCCCAGGAAGGAGGUCAAUGUCCAGGGCUCCAUCAGGGGGUCGUGGAGGCUGAGGCAUUGGAGAAUUUCCUCUGAAAGGGAGGGGCACUCAACUCUGAACACUGAGGCCAGGAAAGAGUCCAGGUCAUCCUCCUCAGCCCACCCUGGCAUUCCCUGCCCCUCUCUCCACUCCUCAUCUUGCCUCUCCUCCUUCUCCUCUCUGACUUCUUCCACAUUCUGUGGACCCUCCAAGGGCCUAGGAUCAGUGUCAUCCCUGAGUUGAGAGAUGCUGGCUGAGCUGGGUGGAAGGGUCUUCCACACCUUCAAGAAGUUGCCAAUGUCUGUGUCCAACCUACAAAACAGGUGGAAGAGGGAGAGGGGACAACCCCACCCCCAGAUGUCAUCCAAGGGAAAAGAUAUACCCGUGGAUGCCCCACAGAGCCCUGCCCCAUUCCUAAAUGUCUCCAAGGCUGGGCUGAGUGCCAGUCCCCUACUUGUAUAGCAAGGGCUCCAUCAGGCCCUUACCUGUGAAUUCUUGCUCUAUCUCUGCAUCUGCCAGAACUUCAACAGAAAAGCAAAACUGCAUUGAGCAAGAUGCGUUUACCCUAAUUUUAAGCCAGUGGUUUGAUAAGAGGUGACUGGCAGCUCACAACCUAACCCCAGAACAAGCGCUUCAUGGGGAGAGCAACACGGGAGGAGAGCCCCACGCACAAGAGGCAGACCUCAGGCUCAUUUCCAAACUGGAGAAGUGAGGCUGAGGGCCAGGCCUGGGGAGAAGCACCCUGUCCAGAGGAUCCCAACCAAGGCCUGCUGCUGGGCCCAGGGUACUUCAAAGUGGGCAGCAAAGUAGUUGGGAGGGAUGGAGGCCAGAGAAUCAGUGACUGCAAAGCUAUUCUCCUAACACCAGCAAAGUAACCUUGGAAAAAUCACUUGAGUUUCAGAUUCCUCAUCCAUAAAUUACAGUAGUCAUUGACAUCUAACCGAACUUCACUGCUGCAUUGGCACCAAGAGCAUAACUUAGAAAAGGUCAGCCAGGCAUGGUGACCCAGCAUUUGUGAGGUUGAGGGAGGAGUUCAAGGCCAGCCUGGGCUACAUAGUGAGUUCGAAGCCAGCUUGAACUACAUAGCAAGACCCUGUCUCAGAAAAAUAGUAAAAAGGCCUUCAACUAGAAAACAGAUAAGUCUGCUACAUGGGUACUUAUGUAGCAGAAUACUACAUGGCCAUUAAUGUAUACUAUAUACAUUAGCAUGGCAUACAUCUGAAAAAGAAAUAGUAAAACAUUGAACACAAAUGCCAAUUCUGGAAGGAUAGAUACAGCAUUAAAGCAUGUGUGAAGUGUUAAAACCAUACUACAAGGGGUGUAUGGAUGCCUCAAUAGAUGACCAAAGUGUAUUGACAUGAAAAAGUCCAGUCACUCUUUUCUGUUCAUGAUUAAGCAGCAGACAAUAUUGGCUAGCACUAAAGGGAGUUCUGGUUACUCUCAGGAGGGCCUCAUAUAUUACCUGUUUGGCUUCUUCAGAAACUCAUCCAAGGUGGGGCCAUCACGGCCCAGGGGGUCAUCUGGCACCAUGAAGAGAUUCCCCGCAAAGGUGAAGGGCAGCAGGCUGGGCCCGGAAGACAAAGGGGCAUAGUCUUAGAUGAGCCCUGACUUUCCCAUGCCCUGCUACUGCCUGGCUGUUACCCCACCUUCCAGAAGGUGCUAGUGAGCCCUACCCCAGGGCCCCUCUCCCUGCCCCAUCAUCUGCUUGCCAGGCACUGCCUGACAUCAAAGGAACAAAGUGGCUCCCACCCCUAAAGGCUGUCUCACCGAUCUUUGACCAUGAGUUUCUUAGAAUUAUUCAUCAGGGUGUGAAUCUGCUCAUUGGUAACAAUGACGCCAUCUGUCUCUUCUGCCAGCUUUACCAUGAACCUGAAGGGAAAAGAGGAGUCACUGAUGACCCAGGGACCAGCCCCAUCACUUCCUGGGUCCCCUGAGAAAAUGAACUUGCAGCUUCACAGAGAGGUGUGCCAGACAAAAACACUGCCCCGCACAGUCAGGGAUUCAGGGCUCUGGAGUAUACCCCCUCCUCUGCAGCCAUCUGGGAUCCCCAGCAGCCCUCUAGGAGGACACACACACCUCAACUGUACAUACAAACCCUAUCACACACCCCUAUUAGAUACACAAACACACACAGAUACCGAAACCCGUCCACUUCACACAUGUGUAUUUACUGCUUGUUUUUGCAUUUGUAAAAUGGAGAUAAAAUCCCUACCCCAUAUUGCUGUAAAAUUAAGUUGGAUGACAUAAUGCAUUUAAAGUGUCUAGCUCAAUGCCUGUGACACAGGAUAUGCACAAAUAUUCCAAUAUUCUUCAUUAAUACACAACAUUAAUAUGCAUGCCAAGAAAUAAUACAAACAUAUUAACGCACAUAAAAACACAAACCUGAAUUUUAAAAAUCUAUUUUUCCAAGAAUCACCUCUCCUCUAAGGAGUGCUGUGACCAAGAAAGAAAGCAAAGGCUACCUACUUCGCAUUAUCAUUCGGGCUACACCAAGCAUGCUAUUCCAAAAAUGCCCAGCAGGGGGGCCUUCUGUAGAAAAGACAUCCUCCCUUAAACCCAGGCCUGAAUUGACAGCCUCUUAGAGGUCUUACCCAGGGGAUAACUGGGAAGGAGGGACCUUGAGAAGCCCUGCCCAGCUUUCCCAGGCUAGAGAGUUGAAUGGAUGUCCCGUCUUUGGAAAAGUAGGAAAAAACGGAACUUUUCCCUGCCCAGCACAGGAGGUACCCAGUGAAGUCAAGACCUCUGUCUGCCCCACAUCAACUCCAGCCCAGAACCAGUGACUUUGGCAGGGCCUUUCCACCCCAACAGAGGCAGGGGCACAGGCUUCCCUGGGCAAGCUGGUCCUGCAGCCUCACCGAAGAGUUGAUCCCUAAGAGCGACAGGUACAGAGGCAUUCAGGAUUCAGGCAGAUGCAGCCAGUCUAUCUCCACUUCCAGAGCCUUGCCCAAGGCAUUUGCUCUACACACACCUCCUCUGGUACCAGGACUUGGAGGGAAAAAAAGGCUGAAGCAGUCCCUUGAACUUCACCCUAAACUGAUACCCAAAAGCCUAAGGUACCUCCGAUGCUCACUGGAAGCAGGUGGAAUUACCUGGCCUGUCUGAUCCACAGUGGUGCAUGUUGGACCACACAGUCCAUGGUGAAGAAAGCCAGUUAACUCAGGGAAAUAGAGCACCAGAGUCCCAAAGUCAGGAGCAACCCUUGAGCUUGGGUAGAACCAACCUCAAGGCCUCCUCUUCACUUGCCCCUCACCCCAUCCUCUCAGACAUUAUCCCCCUGACAUAUCUGCCACCAUUUCCACAGAGAAGAUGUGGCCGGGCUACCUGAUACUCCAUCCAAGCCCAAACAUGCCCCACAGAGAACCCACGGAGCGGCGCACCUAUAGUCAUAGGUGGCGAUCUUCUUGCCGUUCUCCAGCUGGGAGGGGGUGAUUGAAAGCAUCUUGAGCGAGUGAAGCUUCGUCAGAAAGUGGCUUUCUGGGGGAGAAAGGCAGAAAACAAAAAUGGUCAGAGGAAGGGGCUAAAUGGGAAAGGCCAUGGUGGAGUAGUGGAAGGUGGAGCAGAAAGGUGAGGGAAACCAUCACCCUCCGGUGAUGCCGGAGGGGCAGAGUGCACAGUGCACAUCUCACCUCUCACCCUUCGGUUCUUCUUCAGCUGCCAGGUGGGUACAAACACAGUGACCUCUCGGUGUCCCCCGGUUCCAGAAAUACUGCACUGCCAUGGCAAUGCCCUCGGCAGGAGAAGAAAUGCUGGAGGCCAUGCCUGUGGGGUGGUCAGAAGUGAAGGAGCAGCUUCCCCAAAACAAGAGGAAGGACUGCCUCACAACUCCCCCACUCAGAGCCACCCAGGGCAGCAAGCAGGCAAUGCCAGGGAAAGAGCAUCAGCACCAAAGACACCACAGUGCCCUCCUCCCUGCCCUCCAUCCUCAAACAUUCUGUGAGCAGCUGCUGGUACAGAGCAAUUCCAGAUGCUGCCUGUGUGCAUGUGUGUGUGCACACAUAUGUAUAUGGACACUGAGGACGAGAGGAAGAAGGUAGCCCCAUACUCAAAAGAGCUCUAUUUUAGAGCUUAAAGCAAACAAAAACUCCCUGCUUGCCUAUUGUGUGCUGAGAAUGUGCUCAUCAUGAAUGACUAUGCUGCCAUGUGGCAAAUUAAGCAGCCUAGCAUGUAUUUAUCCUAAGACCUCUACAGCAGUAAACACUGCACAGGGAGGGAAAUAUCAAAGGGUUGGCCAGGUCAGGAAAAGUUUCAGAGUAAAUCUGUGCUGGGCCUUGCUGUUUAGGCUAAAUGUUUAAAAGCCAGCCUGGGAGGAGCAUGGGCCUUGGCAGUAGACAGACCUGAACCCAGAGGCUAGCCCAGCCCCUGACCAACUCAGGGACCUUGGGCGAGAUUCCUCACCUCCAAGCUUGUGUCUGCCUCUACCAAAGGGGAUGAACAGAAACCUUCCAUUCUGGGGGCUGCUGGGACAAUUUGGUGCACACUGCUUAGCAUUAGUGGCCACUCAAUGUGCUUGUGCCAUUUCCCUUCCAUCCUUUCCCCAUUUGAACCUUAUGCCUUUUAUAUGGGUCAAGACAAGAUGCCCACAAUCCACUGCCUGUGAAUUUCCUGCCCCAGCUUCUAGCAUCCCCAGCCCAGCCCUCACCCGUGGCUACUCACACCAUGGCCACGCUGCUGCCGUCAAUGACCACUCUGCGCAAUUCCUGGUUCCCAGGUUCUCCUGAUAAGUUCAGCUCAAAGGGUGUGUUCAGGGCCUCAUGGUACCUCUGGAAGCUGGUCACUGUGCUGUUCACCUGUGGGUGGCGAGGUGACUGCCUCGGGCCCCCCUCCCAACCCCCCAAGAGCUGGUGCUUACUGCUGGACUGGACACCCUGCCUUCCAGGUUCCACCUGGCCCUUUGGUAAGGAGGCAUCACCCUUUGAUGAAGGUUGGACUUCACUCAAAAGUCUGGCUACAUCCAAGGUCGGCCCUGUACCUGUGGGCACUUUCUGGACUGCAGGUGUUUGGGGAGCUCUGGAGGCUUUAGAAGCUGCAGGUGCUUUGGGAGCUGCAGAUGUUUUAGGAGCUGCUGAUGCUUUGGGAGCUGCAGACUCCAUUUUAGUCACGGGCCCAGUUUGAGCUUUGAGUGUUUUGGGACUUGCAGGUGAUGUUUUGGUUGCCAGCAUCUUCUGUGCCAUGGCAGUUUUUGGAGUUGUAGACAUCACUUGAGCUGCUGAUGCCAAUGCUGGUUGAUCCACAGCAGCUUUUUGAGCUGUGGACACCACUUGAGCAGUAGGCAUUGUUGGAGCCAAAGGCACUUUGGGAGCUGCAGGCUCUGUGCUCACUGCCGGCAUCAUUUGGGAUGUAGGCACUUUGGGAGCUGCAGGCUGCCCUUGAGUUAGGGGUGGGUUUUCAGCUUUGGGCACUACUGCAGCCACGGGCACUUUGAGAGUUUCAGGCACUGUUCCAGCUUCAGGUGCUGACUGGGCUGUCAGCCCACCUUGAGCCAUGGGCCUUCCUUGAGCUGUGAGCACCCCCUGUUCUGUGGGUGAUGCUGGAUAGGGCCCCUUUUCCAGCCACAUACAAUCUGGCUGCAGACUUCCUUGGUUCCUGCGCUCACCUCCAGCUUGUAGUUGUGUGGUAGAGGCCAAAAGUGGAAGUCUUGGGCUAACUUUGUCCUUUUCACCUGAGCCUCCUGGGACCACCAAUAAACUCAUGACUUUUGGGGGUGUCUCUGGCCUUGGGCAAUUCUGUAGAGUUGUCUCUGUAGAUUUGUAGACCAGUUCCCCAUCUGGCCUACAAGCUGGGCUUUCUGCACUAGGCAAAGGAGCCAGCUCCUUCUGCUUCCACUCUAGAUUUAAGGGCAAAGCACUCUGCCCUGGCAGCUUUAGCUGAAUGGGGCCCAGCGGCCUCUGCCAGAAUGGGAGACUAAAGCAUGCCUGGGACAGGAGCCAGGCCAGGUGCAGAGAAUGCAGUUGAUUGAUCCUCCAGAAGGCUGCAGCAAUAGUCCCUGGCCACAAGGGCCCAAAGGCUGGCCCUGGGGCCCAGGCCUUCCAGGAUGGAUACACACCCAGGGCUGACACCGGAGGCUGGAAGGGGAAUUUCUCUUCUACCUUCUGGACCUGCUUUUGUUGCAGCAAGGCUGGUGUGUGGUUCACAGAGUCCUGGCUGCUGGUUGCUCGUACCAGCCCUUCCUCUCGAUCACUGUCCCAUUACCACUUUGAUUGUUGGAACCGACCCUAGAGGAAGCCCAAGUUUGUUGAAAAGGUAGGAAGGCCAGUUUUUCCCAAACUACUACCAUUUCAUGGGGUAUAGGGGCAAGGGAGGGUUGGACAAGCCAGGCUCAUUGCCCAGAACUUACCGAACCACCUGGUUUGCUGUCUCCUGCUGUGUGCUCUGGGCUGGGAUCAGGGACCUGGUGGCUCCCAGGCUGCUUAAUCUCUUUGGAUUUUCUGGGCCCCCAUUCUGGAGGGUCCCCAUCUCAAGGAAGGACCCAGGACUCUCUCCCGUGGACACCAUGGCUGAGUCUUCCUUUUGCUGCUGGGGAGGGCUUCUCAGGGCCACUGGUGAGCAGGUGUUGGAGAUGCCGAAGUGGCUGAGCCACUCAAUGAUGUCCUCCUUGCCUGCCGCAUCGAGCGCGCACCAAGCUCAGCAGCAGCUCCUGAACAGCUGGGGGCAGCUGCAGCAGAUCCCCUGCAUACUGGUCACCACGGAUCCACACCAGGGCCCCAAAGGCCCGGGUCACCUCAGCCUCCCAGAUCCCCGGGGGGGUCAGCAGAGGGGCAGGGCCCCAGCGCAGGCGUGCCACCAACUCCUCCAGCCAGUUCUGGGUCAUGGUGAAAGACUCGGUGAGCCCGCCUACCAUCAGGGAGCCAGGAGGGCCAGGCACCAGAUAGGCCAGGGUACUCCAGCAGAGGCAAUCCAAAAAGAGGCCCUGGGCGCCAAGGAAGGCACAGUGCAGCAUCGGCGGGUAGCGGACCUCCUUCCACAGCUCUGGGCUGCACAGGCCCUUCAGAUACUCCUGGGCACAUGGGGGGAGUCCAAGGAAGCUAGUCUGUCACAGGCUGCCACUGGCUCUGUCCCACCUCCCACCAGCCACCCCCUUACUGAGCAUGCGCCUCCCUGUUCAUUCAACCAGGGCAGCCACUCUCUCCACAUCCUGCCCCUUCACACACUCAUUUCUUUCCAGGAAAUGUAGAUGGAAUGGAGAAAUCUGAGGAAGAGGUAGGAAAAGACUCAGGCUUGAAGUCAAGGACACCUAAUUCUACUUCCUACUUAGCCAACGCUGAUUAGAAUUGUAGGAAAUCUUCUCAGGGCCUCUGUCGCUUCACCUAUAAAAUGGCAGGUUAAACUAGACACUCAUGGCUCCAGUCCCGCCCUGGCAUUCCAGAAUUGUAUGACAGUUAGAGGGAAAGGAGCCACACACUACUGAGUACUCUCCGGGAGAAAGAACUUUAGCAGCCUACCCUUGGGGCAAAUUAUUUAUCCCCUGUGCCUGUGGGGGUUUCCCUAUAGGUCAAAUGGGGAUAAUAAUAACUCCUGCCUCACUGGGCUACUGGAAGCAUUAGCAAGCUAAUACCUAAGAAGUGUUCAGGGUGGUGCCUGGCUCAGCCUAUUCCCAUUUUGCAGCUCAGAAGGGCUGCGUAAGCUUUGCCCGAGGACACACACAGGCUGUAAGUGGCUGGGCCAAAAUCACAGCCCAGAUUCUGUGUGAAUCUAAAACCAGAGACCUUUCAUCUCCUCUGGCUGACUGUACAGUGCCCACCUGGUAAUCCUGUGGGAUUCUGGCUUAAUCUCCUCCAGAAGAUCUCUAGCACAACCUGUACCUGUAACUGUAGUAACUCUGUUGCCCAGAAGAGACAGAGGAGGAAAUAAGGUGCUGGGCUCAUGUCCAGGGAAACACCCCACAGAUACACACAAUGUCUAACCGGAGAGAAGGCCUCUGGCUCCCUGGAUGAAUAGCUUUUCUGGGAGAGGUUGGGUUCCUCCACUCUCUGGCUGAGUCCCACCAGCACAGGCCCAUAGGCUCCAAGGAAGCAUGAGCAUUCCCUCUUAACCCACCAGCCCACGUAAACUGCAUCUGCCCUUGUGUCCCUCCACAUCCCAGUGUCUGUGACAAUCAUCCCUCUCCUCAUAGCUCCAUUAGGGAACGAAUGCUCCAUUUUGGGUCUCCAAGAACCAUCCUGAAGAUCCCGCCACACCUCUGCUUAGUACCCAGGAACCCUCCCUGCACAGGAUUAUGCAGACCUCUUCCACCCAACAUAGGCCACAGACCUACCUGCAACCCCUCUCCAAAGAACCUGAAAUAUACCCAAGUGUAACCUCUUUCAACCAGUCAAAAACAGCACGAAAUUUGAUGGCCAUCCCAAGCCAGCUCCUGCCACCUGAACCUCAGCUGUCCCACUGCCUUGCAAGGGUGACUCUGAGCAGGUGCAGAAAACCCUCAUAAAUGUCCCCCAUCCCAUGAACCCCCAUAUCCCAACAAUGUGAAAACAGUAUAUAAAAAUGAAGAAAUGUGUUGGAGAAGAAAAUUGGUGGUUUCUCUCUCUUUGUGUUAAUUUUUGUUUUGUUUUGUUUGGGAUUUUGGUUUUUGAGAUAGAGUAUGGCUACAUAGUUCAGGCUGGCUUUGAACUCACUGUGUAGACAGGCUGGCCUUAAACUUGCUGCAGUCCUCCUGCUUCAGCCUCCCAAGUGCUCAUAUUACAAGUGUAAGCCACCACAACCAGCUGUUUCUCUUUUUAAAAAGUGCUCAGAAUAUGUAUUGCUUCAUCAACUAUUCAACAUUUUUAAUUAAAAAAUACAGAAACUGAUACAAUUUUCAAAAUAAUAAAUCUGAAAUAACAUUUAUUUAUAACUUAUUACAUGCCAGGCACUUUACACACAUUAUCUCACUAAAUUUUCUCCCAUCUCCACAAGGAAAUUACCAUCAUCCCCAUUUUAGAUGAGAAAGAAAGUCUACACAGAUAGGCUGGGAUACUCAGAACUCUGACCCCAAUGUCUAGGCUUUUAACUAUGAUGCUACCUAUCAUGAAAAGAAAAAGGAAAUGAGGAAACAACAGACAUAGAGGCCAGGAAAUAACCUGGAACAACUGUACUGCGUUAGAACCCACAGAUCUUUUUUCUCCAAAAGAAGAAAAAGUAGAGAAAAGGAAGGAGCGACUGGAUAGAUAAAUGAUACAGAUGACUAGAAAAAGCACAGAAAAGAGCAAUGUACUUGUAAAAAUAUAUUGUUCAAUGUUCCACCGAUCCUUUGCCCACUUAUAAGUUAAAAACAUUAACACCAAGCAUUAUGAUACUGCCCUAUACUUGACAAGCUGUUUUAUUUCUUAACAUCUGACUGAGGAUUCUCCUUUCUCGCGAGUCAGUUAUUAUUCAUUGUCUUCUUUCCAAAGCCACCUCAAUUUACACUCCAGCAUACUUAAAAGGCUCAGAAAAUGACCCUGCUAAGAACUCUGGAAUUGGGAGGAGGCAGGAAACAAAGCCAUGUUCUUAGAUGAGCAGCUAGAUCUGGAAGCCCAUCUACCCCCUACUACACACACACAGGCUGGGCAAGCACCUCCCCAUCUGCUGGAGGUUUGUUCUCUAGAAAACAAGGUUUUAGGAUUACAGGUUGAUCAGCAUACAGUACUUGAAGGUGGGGGUACCAUGUAAAAAUGGGGAGGGAGGAGGAAGGCCAAAUAAUUUUGUUCACAUGGAAGCUGAAAGCAGAGAAACUCAUUCUUGCCUUUCAGAGAUGUGACAGUCAAACCCUGACCUCUGGGCUGGAGAAUAGAGGGAUACACUCUGGAAAAUCUGGCCAGCCCAAGAGCAAAGACCCCAUGAUCGAGAAGGAAGUUCCUUAACAGACAAUGGUCCCAAAUCUCUGUACAACCAAGCUCAAAACCAACCAGCCUCAUCCACAGCUCCAGCUCCCAAUCAGCUUUUUGUCCUUCACCCUUAAUUAUGCAAGGACUACCAGGCCUAUGAGGGAAACUUCUAAUGUAAAACACAGAGGCUGAAAUUUCCAGGAAAAAGAAAACUGAAAGAAGAGAAACUAGGUGGGGAGAAGAAACCUUCAAAAAGUUUAUUAUCAUUACUCCCUUCAGAGAGAAUCUAAAGCGUAUGGUACACACUACAUAAGAAUAGGACGCUGUUGCAGCCCGGGAUUUAGCGCAGUGGUUUCACCACCUGCUGCGCAAGCGCAAGGACCCGAGUUCGAUCCCUGGUACCAAAAAAAAAAAAGAAUAGGAUGCUGCUUUUAAAAAAAGAGAACACUAGUGACUCUUAGACAUUAAGAAUAUGGUGGCAGAAAUGAACAACUCAAGAAAAGGUGUGGAAAAUAAAGCUGAAAAAAAUCCUAGAAAGCAGAGUCAGAGUUGGAAAACAGGAAAAAAAAUAAAAAAAGUAGAGGGUCUCUAGAAAACUCAGUGUCUGAACAGGAGACGAGGAAGGCACAGGGGAAGAAUCAUCAACUUUCAAUCAUCAAUUUUCAUAGAUCUGAAGACCAUGAAGUCCAGACAGAAGGACCCACUGCAUAUAAAAGCAAGUGACGAAGCAAGAAGACAGAUUCAGCCACAAAGGAGUCUCACUGGGAGACCUCAGAACAUUGGAGGAAACUCUAGACUUCCAAGAAGAAAAACAUUUCAAACAAAGGACCAGAGACCAGAAUAGCUUCACACUUCUCAGAGACAAGAUGUCAACAGAGUAAUGCCUUUUCAUUUCCCAAGGGAAAUAAUUUCCAUUUAUAAUUCAAUACAGCCAAUUAUUAAUCACAUGGCCCUCAGAUAUGCAACCCAGACAUACAGAUAUGCAGCACAUUUUUCCUCCUGUAAAACCUUUCUUAGGAAGCCAUUUUUCUUAAUCCAUUUUCUGCUGCCAUAACAAAAUAUCACACGCUGGACGAUUUAUAGUGAACAGAAAUCUAUUUGGCUCACAGUUCUGGAGGCUUGGAAGUCCUUUGGGAGGUGGGGCCUAGUGGAAGGAAGUGGGUCACAGGGACCAUGGCCUUGAGGGGAUAUUUGAGCCCCAGCCCCUUCCUCUCUCUUUGUUUCCCAGCUGCCAUGAAACGAAGAAGGCUCCUCUACCAUAUACUCCCACCAGGAUGUACUGUGCCACUACAGGCCCAAAGUAAGAAGACUAAGCAACUGUGGACUAAUCUCUGAAACCAUAAGCCAAAAUAAAUCUUUCCUUCUUAUAAAUUGUUCAUCUUGCGUAUUUUAGUUAUAGAGAGCCAACUAGCAUAUUGACCUGUAGAAAGCUGUACUGAGAGGCUACUGGGAGGUAUAAGAAUUAGCAAUGGGUACAAAGCAAAACAAGUAAAUUAAAGAACAAGGAGUUCUUAACCUCAGUGAAAUCAAAAAAGGAAAAAAAAUAAAAUCAUAGUUCACUUCAAUGCACAAAUGUGUGCACACCAAUGCAUGAUAUGUGCACAGGCAUUACUAGACAACGACUAAAAAUAAAUUACACAAAAUUAAAACAUAACUAUAUUGGGAAGAAAGAAGGAAUGGCAGUAUAAAGGAGAUAAAUCCUCACAUACAGUAAGAAUUUAAAAAGGUAGCAUCCAAAAUUGAUCAAAAGAUGCCACAGUAAACGUUGUCCCUGGGAAAGAAUACUGAAGAGGGAGUUGAGAAAGACAGGGCAGGGAGCCACUGCAUUUGCAAAAUUUUUAUGAAAGUAUUGGGCUUUUUAAAUGUAUAUUAGUUACAGUAGCACGGGAACUAGCACAAAGAAUCAACAACUGGGAUCUCAUCUUAUUAAAAAGCUUCUGCACUGCAAGAGAAACCACAACAGAGCUAAGAGACAACCUACAAUGUGGGAAAAAAAUUUUAGCAGCUGUACCUCAGACAAAGGACUACUAUCUAGAAUAUAUAACUAACUAAAAAAAUCAGACUCCCCAAAAUAUAGAAACCCAAUUCAAAAAUGGCCAUCUGAAAUGAACAGACAUUUCUCAGACAAAGAAGUAAAAGCAGCAAAUAAACAUACGAAAAAAUGUUCAGCAUCACUGGUCAUUCAAGGGAUGCAGAUGAAAACAACACUGAGAUUCCACCUCACUCCAGAAAGAAUGGCUGCUAUCAAGAAAUCAACCAAUGGGCCAGGGAUUUAGCUCAGUGGUUCCAGCACCUGCCUCACAAGUGCAAGGACCCAAGUUCGAUCGGUCCCAGUAAAAAAAAAAAAAAAAAACAACCAACAACAAAUGUUGACGGGAUUGUGGGGAGAAAGGAACCCUUCUCCAUUGCUGGUGGGAGUGCAGACUGGUGCAACCACUGUGGAAAUCAGUAUGGAGAUACCUCAAAGAACUAGGACUAGAAGUCCCAUUUGACCCAGCUAUUCCCCUGCUGGGGAUCUUCCCAAAAGAAUUAAAAGAAUCAUACCACACCGAUAUAUGUGCACCCAUGAUUAUAGCAGCACAGUUUGUAAUAGCUAAAGCUUGGAAACAGCCCAAGUGCCCAUCGACUGGAAACUGGAUAAAGAAGAUGUGGGGUUUUUAUAAAAUGGAGUACUACUCAGCCAUAAAGAAUGACAAACUGGAGACAUUUAUAGCUAAAUGGAUGCACAUUGAGGCCUAUUUAUUAAGUGAAAUAAAUAGGACACACAUGUGUAAAUACUGAAUAGUUUCUCUAGUGUGAGAAACUGAAAGUGUAAAUAAGGAUUAAAUUUAUUAAAAUGAAUAAUUGAUAAUUUGAAAUAGGAAGAAAAGGUCCAAAGGGCUGGGGGAAGUGGGAGGCGAAAGGGAAAGGAAAGAAAGGAAAGGAAAAAUUAUGAGAAAAGGAAAAAAUAGGAACAAAGUCUUUGUAAAUAGGGAAGGGUGGAGGGGGUGAAGGGCGCAAAUGGGGAAAAAAUAAGAACCAAGAUCAUCAUGUGCAGGUACAAGCACCCAAUGAUAAAUGUAAAUGUACUGUAUACCUAAAAUGUACCAAUAAAAGAAUCUAAGGGAAAAAAUGUAUAUUAGUUAAUAAAAGAAAACUUAAAGGAAAAGGGGUUGGGUGUGCACAGCACAAUUAGGUAUGCUGCUAAAUGUUUCACAAUCAGCCCAGGGCCGGGAAUUAUCCCUGAUUUGCAGUAUUUGCAAAUUUCUGUGGUGUAAAUAUUCCCACUAUGGCUGUAGAUUUCAUUUCACUGGCUUACAAAGUUCCUGAAAUCUUAACAGUGGGUUAGUAGGACCCAAGUCCAGGGCUCUCCUGACCACAACCAACUCGCACGGUUCUGCUCAUAGUUACUGUGGAGCAGGGACAGUUCAACUUCCAUCUGACAGCCAAGCCAAAUCCUGCUAGCCUCAGCCUGGCCCACAGCUCCAGAGCCCAGUACCCAGAAGUCACCUCUUCUACUGCUUCUGUCUUUGGGCUUGCCAUCACCUCUUUCCAUUCUCUCCGAAAAGAAAAGAAGGGAACAUGUCCUCUCUCCUUUCUGUGGCCCAGUGCAUCCUCACAUCCUCACAUCACUGCCAGCAAGGGCAAGAGGGAUGAGCAGGGCUGGUCCCUGGGCUCCUCCAAUCAUUAUUAAAACUCCCUCUCCACUUGCUAAUUUCACCUCAAAGAAGCCACACUUCCCCAGUGUUUGUUUUGCUCCUUGGGACUGUGAUGUAUGACAGUCUCUUUCAACUUUUCUAAAUCCCACCACUGCAAAACAAUUUUUUUUUUGUACCAAGGAUUGAACUCUGGACCCUGCAUUUGCAAGGCAAGUACAGUGCAAAACAAUUUAAAGGCAUUUUAGUUUUAUAGAGCUUUUCCUAGAAAGUCAAGUGCAUAUGAUAUAAAUGCACACCCAAGUGCUUAUCCCAGAUGAGCCUGUACCUUUCUUGACUCCUCCUUCACCCAAACGAGCCACCCCACACUGCAAUCUCUAUCAGCGAGCCUGUGUACAAAGUGCAAGAUUCUGUGCCCCUAACAGCUACAACUAGGGUCAGCCACACCCGCCCCCAUGUAGAAACCACAAGACGUCUUUAAGCUGGGGAAAAUGUUCACAUAGAGUUUAAUCCAAGCCUGUCACUUUACAAACAAGGACAGUAAGACUCAGAGAGGGAAAAGAACUUGUUCAGUUACACAGCUAGUUAAUAAUAAUAAUACUAUCUGACAUUUAUCCUGUUAAGUACUGCAAAAGUACUUAAGCAUGCACUAUUUCAGUGGACUCUCACAACCUCCCUCCAAGAAAUGAGUAUUAUUAUAUUGUUUUGUAACUAAGGAAAAUGGCUCCAGGAGGGGCAAAUUAUUUGACCCAGGUCACUUGGUUAGAGCUGGGCAUGGCAGCACAUGUCUGUAAUCUCAGCUACUCAGAAGGCUGAGGAAAGAGAAUCACAAGUUCAAAGCUAGCCUCAGCAAUUUAGUGAGACUCUGUUCCAAAAUAAAAUAAGGGCUGGGGAUGUGGCUCAGAACUCCCUGGGUUCACUCCCCUGGGGGAGGGCAUAUUACAAUGUAGAAAACUCCAAUUUCACUCCACCACCACAUACCUCUAUCUGGGCCACAUUUUGGUAACAGCACAUCAAACCCAGAUCUCCUGUGCCCUGGGACAAAAGCUUAUCCUUCCCACCUUCCCUGUUCUCUCCAAAAUUUCUUUUCUGUUCAUCUGUGUGAUAAGGGAAGGAGUUACCCAGAAUUCCCUCCCACCUCAGCAAUGUCUUUCCCCAGGGAAAUGGGGGCUGGGAAAGGGAAGUGAGAGAUCCCCUGUGCUCAUUUAGCAAUACUCCAAGUGGGAGCCUAGAGUGUGUGAGGAUCCAUGGCCCCAGGAACCCUGGGGGAGGCAGCAGUGGGAGUUGGAAUUGACAGGCCUAGAGAAGCCAACCUAGGAUUUAAGCAGGCAGCAGAGGAGCUGGGCAUGUCAGAAAAUUCUGCCCCAUGCUAGAGUGAGUGCUAUUUUUCAUGGUAACAAAAAAAUUAAGAACCCAAAAGGCUCCUCUUGUUAAGCUACCCUCUCCCAGAUUCUGAAGUUUGUUACACUUACAACAGCUGGGCUCCUGCACCCUGUACAUCUGUUCUCUGGGCACACACACCCCUAGUCAGAAUUAGAAAAACUGCUGAUGGCAGGCAGGUCUAAGGGGCUGAGGGAGGCAUUUCCCAGCAUGAUUGACCUCCUACUGGCUAUGUUCUGGGCCUCCCCCACCCACGGCUUUGACCAUUUAGGAUGGGGGGCAGCUGCAAACAGAAGGGGUGCGUGUGUGUGUGCGUGUGUGUGUGUGUGUGUGACUGCAGGGAAAGCAGUCUCAGGCAGACAGAGCCUGUACAUGCCUACCAGCAAGAGAUAAGGCAGGGGAAUUUGACCAAAGAGAGCGACCUUGGAUGGGAUUGGGGGUGGAACUGAGAGGCCCAAGCAGGAUAAGCUUGUGAGAGACGAGCUGUGACCUGGCAGUCCAACGUCCAGCCCCACACAGUAGCAGGCCAUUUCAUCUAAAAGCCCACCGUCUUCCUCCUGGAUUAUCUCCCAUCCCCAAGGGCUAGGGUCUGCAGAGCAGCAGCACCCCACCAAGACCCCUGUAAGAGGCCACCUACAACAUCAAGAGUGUGAGGCAGGGAGCCCAGAGUCCUGGGUUCAGAUCCAGCCCCACCACCCAAGCCUAUCUGACCCUGAGUUUUCAGGCAGGCCCUCAAUGUUUCAUCCAUAAAAUGUCACCAUUGCCCUGGAGUGUCUCCAGUCCCAGCACUCAGUAAGACAGCCCAGGAUGUAAGGAGACAGAAGGAUGUAGGCCUUCCAGAGGCUUGGUGGAGAACAAAGAGGUGUAUCUCUGAGGCCACAGAAAUGCAGGACAUUUAAACCACUCCCAGAUGUAAAAGCAGACAGUGAACACUGGGCCUGGCCAGGGGAAAGCUUGCUAUCCACGCAGGCUGUCCCAGUGCACUUGAGGAGCAGAAGUGACAGGCCAGAGAGGGGUGGGGCAGAAAAGAAAGGCACCAAAGAAAAGGAGCAGACUAACCCAACAGGAAGAUGGAUGAAGGCUGUGAUGGAUUAACUAAUGGUCUGUUUAAGUGGGAACGCCCAGCUGAACUGAGUCAGCAUGGUUCUGGGCAUUGAAGACCCACCUGAGGAUUGUUCCCAAUGGCAUGAAAGGAGAACUGGAAGGGAAGAUUGUAUGCUGCUGAUUUUCCUGAAGAAGCUUGCCAUAGCUGGUUUCCCUGAUAAGAACUCAGCUGUUCUUGUUAGAGGAGCUCAGGUCUUUGCUUCUUCUCUUCAAGGGAGCUCUGAUCUUUGCCUCGAGCCUCGCUUCCUGGCUCCAGUGCAGAUCCUUCACGCUGCCAGUGCAGACUUUCUAGCUUCCACCACCGGCCUUUGGACCUUCCGGUGCAGGUCCUUGAUACAGACUUGCAUGAGACUGCUGCGGGCUCAGGGCCUCCAGAGGGACUUGUGGAGGACAUUACAGGAUCCAGGCCCUCUGCUGGAUUCUUCAGGUCUCUAGCAUGUGGACAGAUCUCUUGCGCUCUUCUGCAUUUGACUUUUUGGGUAAAUAUUAUAAAAUAAUCCUAUAAAUUAUGUGUCCUGUAUUAAAUCUAUUCCGUUGCAAACCCUGACAUCAUCAAAAGAUAUUAAUAGUCCACAAAGAAGGAAAUAUAUACGGUUCUUAAAAUAUGGAAGAUGCUCCACUUCACCCUUAACAACAGAAAUGAA
rnacentral:lncRNA from 1 species